GGCCUUGUAGUCUAGAGGUACGAUACUUGCUUUGGGCUUAAUAUCAUUGCAAGUGGCCUGGGUUCGAUUCCCAGCAAGGCCC